CCCGGUCUCACCUAGGAGCGGCGGCGGCGGGCUGAGCUGCCGAGCCCGGCGGGGGCGGGGAGAGAGGGGGCCCCGACGUCUGCUCCGCAGCCGCUACCCCUCCGCGCUGAGCAUCUUCCCCGCGCCCCGCGGCAAGACUGCUGAGCGAAAAAGAAGAUGGUUCAGAACAGUUAACUAAUUGCUGUUAUGGUUCUCCAAUGAAGGCCAGUUUUGAGAUGAGAAAGGAAGACAAUCUUCCACUGAGAAUGAACUUCCAUCCCAGUGUCAGCAGGGGUGCAAUAUGUCUCUCUGGGUUUAUGCCUCUGAAUGUGGUGACCCAAAACAAGCCAGCAGGACCCACAAGUAUGUCAGAAAUUGCUUAACACUUUGCAGAACUGAAAUCAUCAAAGAGUUCCCAGGCAAACACUCCAACAGUGUGAAGUAUGGGUGAUCAUCCCUACAGAGUACAUCUGCACUGCCAACAGUAGUACCUGACAUACUUAGUUGAAAUAAAUCCGUUUUUGAUCAUU